ensembl:snoRNA
AUCCUUUUAUAGUUCAUAAGCAUGAUGAUUGGGUUUUCAUGCACAUGCAUGAGCUGUGCCUCCCACAAAUCUUCUUAUGACGUUGGCACAUUACCUAUCUGACA